rnacentral:rRNA from 1 species
AACGAACGCUGGCGGCAUGCCUAACACAUGCAAGUCGAACGAGACCUUCGGGUCUAGUGGCGCACGGGUGCGUAACGCGUGGGAACCUGCCCUUAGGUUCGGAAUAACUCCCCGAAAGGGGUGCUAAUACCGGAUAAUGUCUUCGGACCAAAGAUUUAUCGCCUUUGGAUGGGCCCGCGUUGGAUUAGCUAGUUGGUAGGGUAAAAGCCUACCAAGGCGACGAUCCAUAGCUGGUCUGAGAGGAUGAUCAGCCACACUGGGACUGAGACACGGCCCAGACUCCUACGGGAGGCAGCAGUGGGGAAUAUUGGACAAUGGGCGAAAGCCGGAUCCAGCAAGGCCGCGUGAGUGAUGAAGGCCUUAGGGUUGUAAAGCUCUUUUACCCGGGAUGAUAAUGACAGGACCGGGAGAAUAAGCUCCGGCUAACUCCGU